rnacentral:rRNA from 1 species
CCUACGGGAGGCAGCAGUGAGGAAUAUUGGUCAAUGGGCGGGAGCCUGAACCAGCCAAGCCGCGUGAAGGAAGACGGUCCUACGUGUCGUAAACCUCUUUUAUCAGGGGACAAAUUGGGCCACGCGUGCCCUUCUGUAGGUACCUCACGAAAAAGGAUCGGCUAACUCCGUGCCAGCAGCCGCGGUAAUACGGAAGGUUCGGGCGUUAUCCGGAUUUAUUGGGUUUAAAGGGUGCGCAGGCGGCCUUUUAAGUUCGCGGUAAAAGCCCGGGGCUCAACCCCGGCGAGCCGUUGAAACUGGCGGGCUGGAGUGGGAGAGAAGUAUGCGGAAUGCGCGGUGUAGCGGUGAAAUGCUUAGAUAUCGCGCAGAACUCCGAUUGCGAAGGCAGCGUACCGGCUCGACACUGACGCUGAGGCACGAAAGCGUGGGUAUCGAACAGGAUUAGAUACCCGAGUAGUC